GUGGCUGCCCUCAGCGCCGCUGCCGUGUGAGAGCUGCACCGCAGCCAGAGGCAGCCACGCACAGCAACCCUGUGGUUCCUGCCGACAGUGUCUGUAGAGAGAUCAGACUGUUCUGUGCGAUGGUUCCACACACG